AACCCUGGCCCCUGCCACGGGUGGGGCAUGGGCGGGACGGGAGCCUGCUCAGGGUGCUACCUUGGAGCAUUAAGAUGGAUUUGACUGGAAAAGAUGAGAAGGGCCUACAAACACACUGUCUCUGCAUGAUCUUGAAGCCUUCACUCUAUACCUCCAUCACUCUUUAGUAAAAGUACCAAGUGCAUACGAAUCAGGUAGGUCCUGGAGUCAAAAUGAGACAAACCGCCCCAGUGGCAAAGCCUGGAAAAUCUUCUCUGGGUAAGCGUUGGGAGGCCUAUGGGAAAAUUAUUCCUUCUCAGAAUGGUAAGAUCAUAGACUCACACUAUGUAAGGAUAUUUACAUAUUAUACUUUAAUCCCUUCAUUUUACAAAUGAAGAGAAUGCAUUGCCUAUGGUCUCAUAGCAAAGUGAGGACUAGGUUGGGACUAAAACCAGUCAAGGUUGAAAGUAGAACCAGGUGUUUCAGCUAGUCUUGUAUGCGUCCAAGUGCAUCAUACUUCGUGGUUUUGAAUUGUUAGAGCUGAGUCUUGUGUGGUUAGCGGAUCAUGUGCAACUUUGCUAGUAGGGAGUUCGCCUCUUAAAUUUUUUCCUUCAGCUCCCCACGCAUCUAAAUCUUUUGUGAGGAGAUACAUUGAAAGGGUAAGUCUGGCUCCAUGAAUGUCCCAUCUGUAUAGCUGCAAAGUAUCCUGAUUUAGAAGGGUCCUGGGCUCUGGCUCUGUUUACUUUUUUUUUU